rnacentral:lncRNA from 1 species
AUUGUACAUGCCCUAAUGAAGAAUACAAUCGGUUUACGCCAUUAAUCUUGAAUUGAUCUUCUUGUCUUGUCUUCUCCUUUCUUCUUUUGUUUUCUUCUGAGAUCACGGGGUGUGACUCGAAUUUGCUUAGGGAGCUUUUAUUGUAUCGAUCACCGAAACAAACUUCUAUUCUAACUCUCAUCUGUUUCUUUUUUCUGCUUAGAGAAGGACACGGUAAAACUAUGGUGAAUUUUAUCUCUGCCUCUCCA